CGGGUAACGGGGAAUCAGGGUUCGAUUCCGGAGAGGGAGCCUGAGAAAUGGCUACCACUUCUACGGAAGGCAGCAGGCGCGCAAAUUACUCAAUCCCAAUACGGGGAAGUAGUGACAAUAAAUACUAAUGCCUUUCCAUUAUAUGGAGGGCAAUUGGAAUAAGUACAAUUUAAAUCACUUAGCAAAAGUGAUUGGAGGGCAAGUCUGGUGCCAGCAGCCGCGGUAAUUCCAGCUCCAAUAGCGUAUACUAAAUUUGUUGCAGUUAAAAAGCUCGUAGUUGAAAUUGAAACUUCUUGGACUAAUUAAAAGAGGUUCUUGAACCUCCUUGGAUCAUUUCCAUUUUCAAAAGUGGUAAAUCGAUCACCAAAAGUUUCUGAAUAGUCUUCUUAUCCAGCAAUGGGUAUGUUUGACUUGUCCACUGUGAGAAAAUUGUAGUGUUUAAAGCAAACGUCUUUUGUUUGUUCAAUGCAGCAUGGUAUGGUAAAAUAGGACACCAAAGUAUUUUGUUGGUUAAUACUUUGGUGUAAUGAUUAAUAGGGAAGGGCGGGGCCGU
rnacentral:rRNA from 1 species